rnacentral:rRNA from 1 species
CAGUCGCCGCGGUAAUACGAGGGGGGCAAGCGUUGUUCGGAAUUAUUGGGCGUAAAGCGUGCGUAGGCGGCUUUUUAAGUCGGAUGUGAAAUCCCUGAGCUUAACUUAGGAAUUGCAUUCGAUACUGGGAAGCUAGAGUAUGGGAGAGGAUGGUAGAAUUCCAGGUGUAGCGGUGAAAUGCGUAGAGAUCUGGAGGAAUACCGAUGGCGAAGGCAGCCAUCUGGCCUAAUACUGACGCUGAGGUACGAAAGCAUGGGGAGCAAACAGGAUUAGAUACCCCAGUAGUCCCUGUCUCUUAUAC